rnacentral:lncRNA from 1 species
CCAACAAAACACAAAAAUACAACAACCUAUUAAACAUUAAAAGCUUCCCUAAGCAGGGCUGCCUAAACAGGGCAUUGUAAAUAGACCAUUCAGGUAUCACACAUGGAUCAUUGGCAGCAGUUUUUAAAAAGCACUUUUUGCGUUUCUCUCAGGGUAAAUCUGGAUUGGAUUUGAAGUGGAUUGGAAUAUAGGCUGGUGUUUUGAUGGCAAGGACAUCAUGUGGGCUCUGCAAAACAAAAAACAAAACACCUUGCGUAGAUGAGUAGCACCCAUCCCACAAUAAACACCUGUCUGAAACUGCCCUUGUUCUUGUAAAAAAAAAGGAGGAAACUGCAUCAGCAGGAGAUGAAAGAGCAGAGGGGCUUAUCAAACAAGAAAAAGCCUACUGGUGCAUCAGUGCCUGGGGACAAUGAUGCAGACACAUGUCUGAAGGGCAGGGGUGGGGAGGAAACUCCUUGAAUUCUUCAGCAACCUGCCUCAUCUCUGCUUCUCCCCCCCCCCCCGCCUCCACUUCUGCCUCUGAGUCUGGACUGCUGUCUACCACAGCCUCUUCCAGCUCACUAAACCCUGUUGCCUCUUCAGCAUUCGACACCUCCUGCUCAUAGCUGUCAACUUUUCCCUUUUCUUGUGAGGAAUCCUAUUCGGAAUAAGGGAAUUUCCCUUAAAAAAAGGGGAAAGUUGACAGCUGUGCUCCUGCUCCCAGUCUGCCUACCUCCCCUCUGUCCACCCAAUGCCAUCCCACCACCAAUCCCUGGCUCUGAGCCUUCUUCUCUUGGAGGUUCCCUCGGGGGUUCCCCAACUGCCUCCCUCCAUUCCUCUGCAUCCAGCCAGUCUAUGACACUGGCAUCCCCAGGUACGACUGGGGAAGGCAUCCGUCGGAAAACCUGGAGAGCCACAGCCAUUUAGUAUAGACAGUACUGAGUCAGACGUGGAGAGCACUGUAGUAACACCCAGCUAACUCGGUGUAAGUCAGCUGCCGGUGUUCCCACUCUGUUAACAACUGCCUCCGAAAGUGUUAAGUAAGUGUUCUUUUCAAGCUCUUGUUCCGAACAGUUUAUAUAGCACACGGUACAAAUGAGCAAACAUGCUGCCCUAGAGAGGCGACAACUUAUCUGGAGGGUGUACAUAAUCAGGCAUUUCAGAAGGAAAAGAAUGCAAGUUAUUUACCAUUAAAUCUGUUGCUGCAGGGAAAGAUUUCUAAAACCCCUUUGCCAAGCAAGCUCCUUCCCCGCCCCUGGAAGGUUUCUCCAGCUUCAAAACAGCACCAGCUCAUUAAAAGGCAGGGCAGCCAGGCUUCCAUUGCAGUCUCACACUUUUUCUCUCAGAGUUUGCGGUUUUAUAUGGGUCUCCCGCAACCCCCACCCCACCCCCGCCUCCGUCCCCCAAAGCAUCCACUUGACUGCCCAGGAACCUACAGCACCAUCGGCUGAGAAAGCUGUGGCGAAGAACAAACUCCCUCGAGUUUGGAGCCCUGGAGGGCAGCCAUGUUGAAACUAUCAUUGUUUCGGCCCAUGUCUUUCAUUAAAGGCUGCCAGAUAAAUAUUUACAGCUGGUCAUGGGAGGAGGCAAGCUGGAGGGACCUCGCCACAUUUUUCUUCAUUUGACUGCUCAUCUGGCGUAGGCUUUUGCAUCUAUGCAAUAUUGCGUUGAAUUUGUCGUUGCUGUUGUCAUCUUGGUGCAUUAAGAAUUGUGAGCUUUCAUUUCAAAAUAAGCCGUAUCUGAAUCCCACUGUAUUACCAACAUGGCAACGUCUUGUAGAGGUUUUAAGGCAUAUGCCAGAACAUAGUCCUUGGUGUUUAAUGAAUCACAAAUUUCAAGGGAGCUCCUCCCUGCCUGGUUUUGAAUUGUGUUACAUCUGGUAAUCUCCCGCUACCCUGGAAAUCUGAGAUGCCCUGUGUCAGUGUGGCUUCUGGCCUUGUGGUGCUGCUAUGGAAUGCCAGGUCAGUCUGCAAUAUGUUCCUUCAUACAUCUGACAAAGUGGGCCUCAGUCCACAAAAGCUUAUUCUACAAUAAAUAAAUCUGUG